UACGAAGGGGGCUAGCGUUGCUCGGAAUUACUGGGCGUAAAGCGCACGUAGGCGGCUUUCUAAGUCGGGGGUGAAUCCUGGAGCUCAACUCCAGAACUGCCUUCGAUACUGGAGAGCUCGAGUCCGGGAGAGGUGAGUGGAACUGCGAGUGUAGAGGUGAAAUUCGUAGAUAUUCGCAAGAACACCAGUGGCGAAGGCGGCUCACUGGCCCGGUACUGACGCUGAGGUGCGAAAGCGUGGGGAGCAAACAGGG
rnacentral:rRNA from 1 species